rnacentral:tRNA from 2 species
GCCGAAGUGGUGGAACUGGUAGACACGCUGUCUUGAGGGGGCAGUGGCCUUCGGUCGUGCGAGUUCGAUUCUCGCCUUCGGCACCA